CCUACGGGAGGCAGCAGUGAGGAAUAUUGGUCAAUGGACGCAAGUCUGAACCAGCCAAGCCGCGUGCGGGAUGAAGGCUCUACGAGUUGUAAACUGCUUUUGUACGGGGAUAACACCCGCUACGUGUAUCUGUCUGCAAGUAUCGUACGAAUAAGGAUCGGCUAACUCCGUGCCAGCAGCCGCGGUAAUACGGAAGACUCGAGCGUUAUCCGGAUUUAUUGGGUUUAAAGGGUGCGUUGGCGGGCGGAUAAGUUAGAGGUUAAAUCCCGGGGCUCAACCCCGGCCCUGCAUCUGAUACUGGACGGAUAGAGUUCAGUUGAGGCAGGCGGAAUGUAUGGUGUAGCGGUGAAAUGCAUAGAGAUCAUACAGAACACCGAUUGCGAAGGCAGCCUACCAAGCUACGACUGACGCUGAGGCACGAAGGUGCGGGGAGCAAACAGGAUUAGAUACCCGUGUAGUC
rnacentral:rRNA from 1 species